UGGAUAACCUGCCCUGAAGUGGGGAAUAACCCGGGGAAACUCGGGCUAAUACCGCAUGAUACCGAGAGGUCAAAGAGGGCUCGCAAGGGCUCUUGCUACAGGAGGGGUCCGCGUUCGAUUAGCUAGUUGGUAGGGUAAUGGCCUACCAAGGCGACGAUCGAUAGCCGGCCUGAGAGGGUGAUCGGCCACACUGGAACUGAGACACGGUCCAGACUCCUACGGGAGGCAG
rnacentral:rRNA from 1 species